AGUGAACGCUGGCGGUAGGCCUAACACAUGCAAGUCGAACGGCAGCACAGUAAGAGCUUGCUCUUACGGGUGGCGAGUGGCGGACGGGUGAGGAAUACAUCGGAAUCUACUUUUUCGUGGGGGAUAACGUAGGGAAACUUACGCUAAUACCGCAUACGACCUACGGGUGAAAGCAGGGGAUCUUCGGACCUUGCGCGAUUGAAUGAGCCGAUGUCGGAUUAGUUAGUUGGGGGGGUAAAGGCCCACCAAGGCGACGAUCCGUAGCUGGUCUGAGAGGAUGAUCGGCCACACUGGAACUGAGACACGGUCCAGACUCCUACGGGAGGCAGCAGUGGGGAAUAUUGGACAAUGGGCGCAAGCCUGAUCCAGCCAUACCGCGUGGGUGAAGAAGGCCUUCGGGUUGUAAAGCCCUUUUGUUGGGAAAGAAAAGCAGCAGGUUAAUACCCCGCUGUUCUGACGGUACCCAAAGAAUAAGCACCGGCUAACUUCGUG
rnacentral:rRNA from 1 species